rnacentral:rRNA from 1 species
AUUGAACGCUGGCGGCAGGCCUAACACAUGCAAGUCGAACGAGUGGCGGACGGGUGAGUAAUGUCUGGGAAACUGCCUGAUGGAGGGGGAUAACUACUGGAAACGGUAGCUAAUACCGCAUACCAUCGGAUGUGCCCAGAUGGGAUUGGCUGGGAGGUGGGGUAAAGGCUCACCUAGGCGCCGAUCCCUAGCUGGUCUGAGAGGAUGACCGGCCAAACUGGAACUGGGACACGGUCCAGACCCCUACGGGAGGCAGAAGUGGGGAAUAUUGGAAAAUGGGGGAAAGCCUGAUCAGGCCAGGCGGCGUGUGGGAAGAAGGUCUUCGGUUUGUAAAGCACUUUAAGCUGGGAGGCGUUACCAGCAGAAUAAGCAACGGCUAACUACGUGCCAGCAGCCGCGGUAAUAC